UUCAGGAGUGAAUUAAAAAGUGAUGGAUUAGCUUAAUUAUAAGAGAUUUCAGUGCUGAACCUGCUGUCUUUUGAUGAUGAUGCACGCAGCAGCUGCAGUUUGCUAGAGGACCAGAUUUUUAUAUUAAAAUGAUAUGAUUGAUAGUUUCAUGGUUAUUGUUCUGGUAGUUUUUUGACGUUCGCAUGUCCCUAGUUCUAAAAUAAGCUGCUCUAAAUCUUAAUGUGUUUAUUCAGACAAUGCUCUUUGCUACUUGUGUUGUAUAUUUUGUAGCUCCAUUAGAAAAUUUUUGCUCCUGUAUAAACUACUAGCUUCGAUUGUUUAGACAAAUUUUGCUCCUGUAUAA